rnacentral:rRNA from 1 species
AUUGAACGCUAGCGGGAUGCCUUACACAUGCAAGUCGAACGGAGUGGCGAACGGGUGCGUAAUGUAUCGGAACGUGCCCAGUCGCGGGGGAUACCUCCGCGAAAGCGUAGCUAAUACCGCAUACUAUUGUAGCGGCCUAUAUGGGCUUUGCUAGGUGGUGGGGUAACGGCUCACCCAGGCGACGAUCCGUAGCUGGUUUGAGAGGCCGACCAGCCCAACUGGGACUGAGACACGGCCCAGACUCCUAGGGGAGGCAGCAUGGGGGAAUUUUGGACAAUGGGGGAAAGCCUGAACGAGCAAUCCCGCGUGGGCGAGGAAGGCCGUCGGGUUGUAAAGCACUGUUGGCAGGAAAGCGGUACCUGCAGAAGAAGCAACGGCUAACUACGUGCCAGCAGCCGCGGUAAUAC